AAAAUAUUGUUUCGUUGAUUAAAAAUGUUUCCCUUAAGUUCUCCAUCACUGGCUACCAUCGUAGUAUCAAACAGCACUGUUGAGGGAGUUAUUGAUCGACAUACUGUGAUGACGUCAUAGUGUGGGUGGCUGGCAUUCAUUUAUCUGCUCAGUUGGCUGGAGGUCGUCAUCCGGGACGGAGGAGCUCAUGCAGCUCCUGUGCGGUGUAGUAGUGAUAGACCUGACCUGAUGAGUUGGUCAUGAGCUGGCAGACCUGGGUGGUUUUCAACCGUUAGAACACAAUCUGCUAAUCUUGCCACAUCCAGGUCCCUGGUUACUGCUGGGUGCCGAGCGGCGAUCAGUCCACGAACCCUGACCUGGGUUCCCUCCCAGGCCUUCCUUGUGAGCGCCUCAGUGUGGCGAUCCAGAGAGGAAACGCCUGAUGCGGCCUCGGUACCUAUCCGGAAGCGGAGAAGCUCCAAAAGAUCCAUAACCUUUAAACGCUCAUUGUUUCAACCAAUGUACGUCUUGUAAAUUUUAAAUAUCCAGUAAAGCAAAA